rnacentral:rRNA from 1 species
AACGAACGCUGGCGGCAUGCCUAACACAUGCAAGUCGAACGAGACCUUCGGGUCUAGUGGCGCACGGGUGCGUAACGCGUGGGAAUCUGCCCUUGGGUUCGGGAAUAACAGUUAGAAAUGACUGCUAAUACCGGAUGAUGUCUUCGGACCAAAGAUUUAUCGCCCAAGGAUGAGCCCGCGUAAGAUUAGCUAGUUGGUGAGGUAAUGGCUCACCAAGGCGACGAUCUUUAGCUGGUCUGAGAGGAUGAUCAGCCACACUGGGACUGAGACACGGCCCAGACUCCUACGGGAGGCAGCAGUGGGGAAUAUUGGACAAUGGGCGAAAGCCUGAUCCAGCAAUGCCGCGUGAGUGAUGAAGGCCUUAGGGUUGUAAAGCUCUGUCGAGCGGGACGAAAAUACUUGGAGUGAAC